ensembl:snRNA U6 U6 spliceosomal RNA
GUGCUCACUUCAGCAGCACAUAUACUAAAACUGGAAGGAUACAGAGAGGUUUAGCAUGGCCCCUGUGCUAGGAUAACAUGCAAAUUUGUGUGGCAUUCCAUAUUUUU